CAGACGCCCAUACCGAGAGCAGAAUGGAUGAGCUAAGAACAUGGCCAAGCCUGGCACAGGCCAACUUGGCACCACUACCCUGGCUCUGAGUGAGGGAGAAAGUCUAGGGCUUCAACUGGAAAGCGGCGCCCUUGACAACACCAAGGAUCGAGUCCUGGCUAAGCUGAUGAAGAUGAGGAUGACAUGGCCCACACCCCAUAUGGCAUUUGUGGGAUGAUGCAGGAAAACAUGAGUUGGAUGGUAGAAAUAUCAGAAGAUUUGGAGCUGGGGAAAUGACCAUAUCUUAAAAGCCCAGUCUGCACAAAGGGAGGCCCCAAAUAAGUGACCACAAGGCUUUGUCCUUAGGGUGUUCCCUCUAAUGUUUUAAGAGCAAGUUGGAUGGCCGGGAGUGGUGGCUCAUGCCUGUAAUCCCAGCACUUUGGGAGGCUGAGGCAGGCAGAUCACUUGAGCCCAGGAGUUCAGGACCAGCCUGGGCAUGCAACAUGGAGAAACCCCGUCUCUACUAAAAAUACAAACAUUAGUAGGCUAAGGUGGUGCACACCUGUAAUCCCAGCUACUUGGGAGGCUGAGGUAAGAGGAUGACCUAAGCCUGGGAUGCAGAGGUUGCAGUGAGCUGAGAUGGCACCACUGCACUCGAGCCUGGGCCACAGAGUGAGACUCUCUAUCUCAAAAAAAAAAAAAAAAAAAGAGCAAGUUGGAGGGAGACAGAGAAAAAACUGGUUUGCAUGUGCUGAUGACAAGGAGGUGGGAGAUGAAGUUCACAGACUCAAAAUUAUUGCAACAGCCUAGACAGCUUGGCCCAAACCAAAAAAGAUAACAUUGAACAGGGCCAAAUGCAAAGGCCUAUAUUUAGGUGAAAAAAAAAAGUGUAUAUAGUUGAAUGUUGUCUUCUUUCCUUCCAUCUUUUUUCCCUGCUAAUCUGUAUUUUCUAAGUUUUCUG
rnacentral:lncRNA from 1 species